UAUAAAACUUGAAACAACAGAAAAUAUCCUUGGAAAUGCCAACCAUAGGUAAACCAGGAAUAUAACCAUAGGUGAAUUAGGAAUACUGAUCCCAAGUGAGCUAGGAGUAUUGAACAUAGGUGAGCUAGGAGUGCUGAGCACAGGUGAGCAAGGAGUGCUGAGCACAGGUGAACUAGGAGUGCUGAGCACAGGUGAACUAGGAAUACUGAGCACAGGUGAGCUAGGAGUACUGAGCAGGGC